UUUUUUCUGUUACUGCAGUAUCUUACACUGAUUGAUUUUCAUAUGUUGAACUAUCCUUGCAUUCCAGGAAUAAAUCCCACAUCAUCAUGUGUAUAAUCCUUUUAAUAUGCUGUUGAAUUUGGUUUACUAGUAUUUUGUUGAGAAUUUUAAUAUUAAUAUUUAUAAGGACUAUAGAUCUGUAAUUUUCUUGUAUAUCUUCGGCUUUGAUAUCAGGCUAAUGCUGGGCUUGUAGAAAUAUUUAAGAAAUAUUCCUUCCUUUUCAAAUUUUAAGAAGAAUUUGAGAAGGGUUGGUGUUAAUUCUGAAAUGUUUGGUAGAUUCACCAACAAAGCUAUCUUGUCCUCUUGUCCUGCUCUCUUCUUCAUUGGGAGGUUCCGAGUCAUUCUUUUUUUUUUUUUGCUUUUCAGGGCCACACCCAUGGCAUAUGGAGCGGCCCAAAGAAAUAGCAAAAAAUUAAAAAAAUAAAUAAAUAAAAUAAAUCAAUGCCUUAAAAAAAAAAAAAAAGAAAACAUUUCCCUAUAUUUGAACCCAGGAGAUGUCUCUGCUAUGACUCUUAUUCUGCCCUAGGAGCCAAACAGAGCAAGAAGAAACACUUUCCACAGAUCUACUCUUCAAAUAUUUGGGGGUUAGGACUCAUAUCUUUUGGAGACUCUGCCUGUUUCACCAUUUUCAAUUUCUCCCCCUUCCCUGAACUAAUGAACCAGCCAAACCCAAACUCAUCAUAGCCUCCAGGGUCCCACAGAACUGGGGCCCUGCCCACCCUGCCAACCUCAGUUCACACGCUUCUCUUUUGGGCUCACCUUGCUUCAGCUACACAGCCUCUUUUCUGUUGGGCAACACUGCCAAGCUCUUCCCUGCCUUCUCUUCAGCUCCGUGACUAGAGGGCUUAUGGAUGCUCGGGCAGAUCCCUGACCCUCACCGAGGUCUCCCUGGUAGAUAAAGUCCCUGACUACUCAUAGAAUCUCCCAGAUCCCCCAGGUGGCAUGGAUGGCAGCAGGGCAGCUGGAGUGGGGACCCAGACUUGGCUGGCCCAUGGCAUCUGAAUUGAGGGAAAAACGGAAAGAGGUCAAAAAGGGAGAGAACCAGAGGUGACUUUUCCACCUCGCCCUGUCUGGAAGCAUCUCACCCACCCCUGGUCCACUCCAGGGUCCCACAUGUGAGACAGUGCUGGUGUCUCCCUAUGGUGUGCCCUCUCUCCACUGAGUGGUCCCCGCCCCCAGGCUUGCCUUUGUCCCUUUGUCCAGGGCCCAUGCUCCUCCUCUUUUGGUUUCUCAGCGUCCUCAUGCUUCCAUCCCAAGCUGAGCUGGCCCAGGAGACAGCCAUUGCAUGAGAGCCUUGGGGACAGUGUGGCAGGUGUGACUCUGGGACCCUGGCUCUUGCCUCAGCUAAAGCUUGAGGGAGCUUCCCACUUGAUGGGAAGGUAGGAGGCUCAAGCAUGGGGGUGUGGAGGUGGGGCGGUCAGCCAGAGGCUAAGAUAUGGCUGCUUAUCCUGGGGAUCCACCCACCAGCCAUGUGUGCCACCCAGGCAAGUCCUCUCUGGCCCUAUCACGCCCAUGUGUGAAAGGGGAUCCAGCUGAGUCGUCUCUGGGACCCCCUCAGCUCUGACAUCCUGAGUCUCCGGGCCCAGGAGCUGGGACAUUGAGUGGUCCCUGGCUGAGCCCUCCCCGCCUCAGUGCUCCCAGAGCCCCUCCCCCCCAGCAGUUCCCUUCCACACUGCCCCGCCCCCGCGUCCCAUCCAUCCUCCUCUCCGCUGUAGCUGCUGCUUAACCUCCACAGGGGGCCGAGGAGCC
ensembl:lncRNA